GGACCCGCACAAGCGGUGGAUUAUGUGGAUUAAUUCGAUGCAACGCGAAAAACCUUACCUACCCUUGACAUGCUAGGAAGUCCGCAGAGAUGCGGAUGUGCCCGAAAGGGAACCUAGACACAGGUGCUGCAUGGCUGUCGUCAGCUCGUGUCGUGAGAUGUUGGGUUAAGUCCCGCAACGAGCGCAACCCUUGCCCAUUAGUUGCGACAUUUAGUUGAGCACUCUAAUGGGACCGCCGGUGACAAACCGGAGGAAGGUGGGGAUGACGUCAAGUCCUCAUGGCCCUUAUGGGUAGGGCUUCACACGUAAUACAAUGGUCGGUACAGAGGGCUGCCAACCCGCGAGGGGGAGCUAAUCCCAGAAAGCCGAUCGUAGUCCGGAUUGUAGUCUGCAACUCGACUGCAUG
rnacentral:rRNA from 1 species